UUGACACUACUACCUACAAUAGUCCACAGCA
rnacentral:piRNA from 1 species